rnacentral:rRNA from 1 species
UACAGGGGGGCAAGCGUUGUUCGGAAUUACUGGGCGUAAAGGGCCAGUAGGCGGCCAACUAAGUCCGACGUGAAAUCCCCAGCUUAACCUGGGAACUGCGUCGGAUACUGGAUGGCUUGAGUUCGGGAGAGGGAUGCGGAAUUCCAGGUGUAGCGGUGAAAUGCGUAGAUAUCGGGAGGAACACCAGUAGCGAAGGCGGCACUCUGGGCCGGUACUGACGCUGAGGAGCGAAAGCGUGGGGAGCGAACAGG